rnacentral:lncRNA from 1 species
AACUAAUGGUGCAUGAGUAAGGACCUCAGAUGUAUAGACAUAUAAAGGUGAAGAGAGCUUGUUCAAACAUUUUCGUUGUUAUAAACAACAAACUUCGUCUCUUUUUCACGCACAGAUGGACUAAAUAUAGGCAUGAAAUAAUGCAUUGCUAUCUUUCUUGAAGCAAAAAUUGUUUUUGGGAAGUGACCAUUUCUAUCCAGUUUUCAUUUGUGAAAUAAAAUUUCUUGAAUUCUACAGAGUUUUCCCUUUUGCUGCUCAGGGUCUACGUGUAUCCUUUAAGUUUGUUGAGGUCUUUAUAAUCUGAAAAGCACAAAAAAGAUUUUUUUUUUGUUUUAACACCAUCAGGAGGAAGAAUUGUCUCCAUUGUUCCAGAAUGGCAUGCUUUGGUUCACAAGAAUCAUAAGAAGAAGUCAUGUGCAAGACUUCUAGGGAAAAUGGACAUUCCUCCUUGGACAUCAAGGAAAGUUACCCCUUGCCUGGCCUGGGAAAAGCAGAGGCAGGUCAGAGAAGUGGACAUUUAAGUGGUACGUUGGUUGGUGUCCCAGGCAAGAGGAUCUGGCUCUCAUUCCACCUUGGGUGCAGUUGAAGAGAAUGAGAGAACUCGAAGAUAAGUUUAUCAGUCUAAGAUAAGACAGGAAUCUUGUGUUGCAUCUUGAGUGAGAAUUUGGAAAAUCAGGCCCCUUCCCAAAUUACAACCUCAGUAGGUAACUUUCCUAUCAGGUCAUAAAUUUGUUGACGUCAGAAACCAUGUCUUGCUUAUUCACCCAAUAAAUAAUUAUGAAAUGCCUACUUUUCUGUCA